CAGCAGCCACGGUAAUACGAGGGGGGCAAGCGUUGUUCGGAAUGACUGGGCGUAAAGGGCGCGUAGGCGGAUUGUUUAGUUAGGCGUGAAAUUCCUGGGCUUAACCUGGGGACUGCGCUUAAUACAGGCAGUCUAGAGUGAGGAAGAGGGUUGUGGAAUUCCCAGUGUAGAGGUGAAAUUCGUAGAUAUCGGGAAGAACACCGGUGGCGAAGGCGGCGACCUGGUCCUUGACUGACGCUGAGGCGCGAAAGCGUGGGGAGCAAACAGGAUUAGAUACCCCUGUAGUCCCUGUCUCUUAUAA
rnacentral:rRNA from 1 species